ACGGGGUGCAGCAGGCGAGAAAACUUUGCAAUGUGCGAAAGCACGACAAGGUUAAUCCGAGUGGUUUCUGCUAAAGGAACCUUUUGACAGUCCUAGAAACACUGUUGAAUAAGGGGUGGGCAAGUUCUGGUGUCAGCCGCCGCGGUAAAACCAGCACCUCAAGUGGUCAGGAUGAUUAUUGGGCCUAAAGCAUCCGUAGUCGGCCCAGUAAGUUUUCGGUUAAAUCUGUACGCUUAACGUACAGGCUGCCGGGAAUACUGCAGGGCUAGGGAGUGGGAGAGGUAGACGGUACUCGGGAGGAAGUGGUAAAAUGCUUUGAUCUUUCGAUGACCACCUGUGGCGAAGGCGGUCUACCAGAACACGUCCGACGGUGAGGGAUGAAAGCUGGGGGAGCAAACCGGAUUAGAUACCCGGGUAGUCCCAGCUGUAAACUAUGCAAACUCAGUGAUGCAUUGGCUUGUGGCCAAUGCAGUGUUGCAGGGAAGCCGUUAGGUUUGCCGCCUGGGAAGUACGUACGCAAGUAUGAAACUUAAAGGAAUUGGCGGGGGAGCAC
rnacentral:rRNA from 1 species